AAGAGAAUGACUGAUCAUUCGGUUUGAUGUUCUUCGGAGGAGAAUUUAGCGAACAGGGAGAGUCGGUGUUUGUGGAUCCACCCCAUAACAUCUGCACACUCGACACAUAGAGUGUAUGCAACCCUGUUUGAAGAGCUGCGGGAGCAUCCUGGCAAGUUUUUGACUAUUUAUAAAUGUCGAUGGUCAGUUUGGAAGAACUGCACCAGAGGGUGUCAGGGAGGAUCCAAUGUCAGGACACCACUUUCUGCUGAAGUAUUUCUCCAAAGGUACCUGGCCACUGGAGAAAGCUUUGCCUCCCUCCACUUCCAGUUUCUCCUGGGGAAGUCAACAAUCUCCUGUAUGUGGGACACUUGCAAGGCUUUGUGGGGCUGUCUGCAAGAGGGCUGGGCAUAAUGAUGGGGCUGGGCAUAGGGCUGGGGCUGGGCAUAGGGCUGGGGUUGGGGCUGGAAGGGGGGGGGGGAGUUCAGACAUUUUGUCAAUGACAGU